UGGUGUCUUGACAUUUAGUGUGUGAUGUCGUGAUAUUACAGGUAGACCCUUGAAUCCUUGUUUCAAAUGACAACAACUUUACAUGUUUAACAUCCAUUGGCCUCAAGGCUCCAAAUCAGCCAUUUCAUAUACCUAAACUUGUCAAAAACAUUGUUACUGUAACGACCUGAUAGUCAUGGGUGUCGAAAAGUGCAUUUUCAAGACUCCGGUUUUGUAAAUCAGACUCUAAAUAUUUACGAAUUUAGUUGUGUAGUUAAUUAGGUUUUGAUUAAGUGAAUUUGCAUGAAUUAAGAGUAAUUAGGUAAAAGGACUAAAUUGCAUAAAGUGUGAAAGUUGAAUUAUAGAUUAAAGAAAACUUAAAGGGACUAAAGAAGCAAUUAUGCCAUUGUCUUAAAAUGAUUAAAUUUAUAAAAAUUUAAAGUUAAAAAAUAUAUAUUAUAAUAUUAUAAUAUUAAAUCUUAAUUAUUAAGUAUAUAUAUUAUAUUAUAAUAAUAAAAUAAGUAAUUAAAAAGAAAUAAAGAUAGAAAGAUAGAAACGAAACAAAAAAAAAGAGAGAAAGAAAAAGAAAAGGGAGAAACGAGAAAGACGAAGUGCCUUGGGGGUUUCAAAGUUUCAAGUUUAAUUGGUUAGUCAUUUAGUCCUUUUUUCUUGUAAUUUUUAUGUUUUUGGAAUCCUUAUGUUAAAUACUACCCGACCCAUGUCAAAAUUUUAGAAGUUAUUGAGUUAUUGAGUGUUGUCUAUGUUGAAUAAUUUUAGUAUUAGGGAUUAAAUUGAUAGAUUUUUAAGUUAGAAAUGAAAAAGGGAUUAAAUUGUAUAAUAAAUUGUAAAUUUUGAGUAAUAGGGACUAAAUUGUGAAAAUUCAAAAUUUAUGAAUUUGAGUGAAGAGUUAAAUUUAGUUUAAAGUGGAAUUUGUAUGAAAAUAUAAGAUUAAAUGUGAAGAAAUAAAAUUAGUCUCGGUUUAGGGACUAAAUUGAAAUUUAGGCAAUAUUUAAGUAAAAAUUGAAAUAUUCAAUAUGAAAUUGAAUUAUGUUGUAUUGAUGAAUUUUAAUUUUUUUAAUUCUGUAGCUAACAUUGUACCAGAACCUUCGAUUAACAAGGGGAAAGAUAAAGUCGACGAGGGAUAGCUCGGAAUUUCUGGUUUGUAUUUCAAUAAUCCGAACUUAGUUAUUAAUUGUUUUAUUUUAAUUUAAUGUUUAUGGUAAGUGAUUGAGGUGAGAAUUUGGCAUUUUGGUAUUGAAUUGAAUUUAUAUGUAUAUGUGAUUAUAUGAAAAAUUGAUAUUGGAUAUUGAUUGUUUUUGAAUUGUGAAAUUAAACCCUAUUAAUUGUAUCGGACUGAGUUGGAUAUAAACGGCAUGCUAUAGGAUUGGAAGAGUUCAAGGAUUUCUUCGACUUCGAGUCGAUGAGACACUGGGUGUCAAUUUACUAUUUCGGAUUAAUUUGAUGAGGCACUGGGUGCCAAUUUACUUCGGUUUAGCCGGUGUGACACAGUGUGUUAAAUUAUUACAUUGGUUAGACACCAAG
rnacentral:lncRNA from 1 species